ACGAACGCUGGCGGCGUGCUUAACACAUGCAAGUCGAACGGUGAAGCGCCUUCCUUUUUGGUGGGUGUGGAUGAGUGGCGAACGGGUGAGUAACACGUGAGUAACCUGCCCCCUUCUUCUGGAUAACCGCAUGAAAGUGUGGCUAAUACGGGAUAUUCUGGGUCUGUCGCAUGAUGGGUCUGGGAAAGAUAUUGUUUCGGUGGGGGAUGGGCUCGCGGCCUAUCAGCUUGUUGGUGGGGCGAUGGCCUACCAAGGCGGUGACGGGUAGCCGGCCUGAGAGGGUGGACGGUCACACUGGGACUGAGACACGGCCCAGACUCCUACGGGAGGCAGCAGUGGGGAAUAUUGCACAAUGGGCGCAAGCCUGAUGCAGCGACGCCGCGUGAGGGAUGGAGGCCUUCGGGUUGUGAACCUCUUUCGCCAGUGAAGCAGGCCUGCCUCGUUUGUGGGUGGGUUGACGGUAGCUGGAUAAGAAGCGCCGGCUAACUACGUG
rnacentral:rRNA from 1 species